GUAGGGUGCAAGCGUUAAUCGGAAUUACUGGGCGUAAAGCGUGCGCAGGCGGUUUUGUAAGUCUGAUGUGAAAUCCCCGGGCUCAACCUGGGAAUUGCAUUGGAGACUGCAAGGCUAGAAUCUGGCAGAGGGGGGUAGAAUUCCACGUGUAGCAGUGAAAUGCGUAGAUAUGUGGAGGAACACCGAUGGCGAAGGCAGCCCCCUGGGUCAAGAUUGACGCUCAUGCACGAAAGCGUGGGGGGAGCAAACAGGAUUAGAUACCCUGGUAGUCCACGCCCCUAAACGAUGUCUACUAGUUGUCGGGUCUUAAUUGACUUGGUAACGCAGCUAACGCGUGAAGUAGACCGCCUGGGAGUACGGUCGCAAGAUUA
rnacentral:rRNA from 1 species